rnacentral:rRNA from 2 species
UGGGGAAUAUUGGACAAUGGGCGCAAGCCUGAUCCAGCCAUGCCGCGUGAGUGAUGAAGGCCCUAGGGUUGUAAAGCUCUUUCACCGGUGAAGAUAUUGACGGUAACCGGAGAAGAAGCCCCGGCUAACUUCGUGCCAGCAGCCGCGGUAAUACGAAGGGGGCUAGCGUUGUUCGGAUUUACUGGGCGUAAAGCGCACGUAGGCGGACUUUUAAGUCAGGGGUGAAAUCCCGGGGCUCAACCCCGGAACUGCCUUUGAUACUGGAAGUCUUGAGUAUGGUAGAGGUGAGUGGAAUUCCGAGUGUAGAGGUGAAAUUCGUAGAUAUUCGGAGGAACACCAGUGGCGAAGGCGGCUCACUGGACCAUUACUGACGCUGAGGUGCGAAAGCGUGGGGAGCAAACAGG